GAUCCUUGCGUGCACUGUAGCUUUCGUUCCUGAUAGCAGAGCAGACCACGGCAGAAGAAAAGCCAAGGUGGUCUGAUUUCCUGUUCAUUCGGUCAGAGGCCCUGUGAUAAGAAUAUUGUUGUGAACAGUCUGCACAAUAUAUUUAAAUAAAUAGUAUCUUACACAAUGACUGAUGGAGCAAGCAAGGGUUUGAUGAGUGAGAAAGAAGUGUGGCCAGCAUAUGUAUGGCUUACACACCUUCUGUGGUGCUCAUAAUAACUUUUGUCUUUGCAAAGGAAGGAGCUGUAAGUAGAGGCCGAUUUUGUGGAGAGUGGAGAAGGCACAGUGGCUGGCCUAGGGGUGAACUGACUCAUAGGAAUGAGGCAUGGAAGCACAACAGAGAAGCCUGGUCCUGAGGCUCUUCACACCCUUGGAGCUGCAGAGCCUCCACUUAAUGGCUGUGCUGGGAACUGAAGGAUUAGAGGAGCCUGUGGGAGGAUGGACGGCUCAGCAAGACACGAUCUACACCUGCAGUGGAAUGCUGCACGGCCUUCAGAAGAGAUAGAUUCCUGGCAAACACAGCAUGGACAGAAUCUUAGGACAUUACAUUAGGUGAAACAAACCAGCCAGAAGGACAUCAAAAAAAAAACAUUUUAACCCUGAAAACUUCACGGUAACCAGGGAUAAUGGCUGACAUACUCUGGAAUGGAGAGUCUCCCUGCAAGCUCUGGUGAGCUGCAUUGUGGCCCUCGGCGGGCUCCUCGGCAAGGGAUGCCUGACACUAGAUGUGUUCUCUACAGUAACCACCGCACAUACUUUUUUCCUGGGCCUCCAGCCUACCUGAUGUAACAGUGGGAGAGACCCGCACUGACUUCCUGUGGCGGCCAGAACUCUCUUGGGUAAGGAAAGAGCAAUAGUGGGGGAGGAACCUACUUGGCCAGGUGGUUCAUGAGCAGCUGCAACAUCUGCCGAUUCUUCUCCGGGAGCCGAUGGACAAGGCUAUGGAUCUCAGAGACUCGCGUCUCUUGGUUUUCCAGCUCUGGGAAGAAAAGGGGUAAUGUUGUAUUGGAGUCACAGCUAAGUUACUGGACAAGACCAAGGGGAACUAAAGCCCUGGCACUAACACAGGGAAGAUGUUCUUGAGGACUUACCACCCUGUCUUGCGUGCAUGCUUAGGACCAGCAUGGCAGGCUCUAAAGGCCUUUCAGUGUGCUCUCUGUAUCAGAGUUCAUCCAGCUAAUGACUGUGAUGAAAUGGAGCUGGUCUACCGCACACCCAGGGAAGGAACAAACACGGGAGCAGCUGGCUCCCUUGAGGGCCAACUUCAUUUCAAGGAAAGAAGGAACUUUAUGCACUUGUGAAGUGGUAAACAGAUCUUAUGUGAACAUCACCAAGGUCUCAUAUUUCAAAAUGAUGUAUCCAGAUGCACAUACACACACAGCACAAUGCUUAAGUUGCCUGUAACACACCUUCAGAGUAUGAAGAAUGCAGUGGCAGAAAGAACAUUUAGAUCUUUCUGUCACUCUAUAGCCUGCUACCUUUUGAUUCAAACUGGGGAAGUGGCUUUGUUUCUAUGGGAAAUAAAUUGCUAAUACUCACC
ensembl:antisense Gm15336 uncharacterized LOC110333058